GCUGGUUUGGCUCAGUGGAUAGAGCAUCAGCCUGCAGACUGAAGGGUCCCAGGUUCGAUUCCAGUCGGCA
rnacentral:tRNA from 1 species